GAUGAACGCUAGCUACAGGCUUAACACAUGCAAGUCGAGGGACCGGCGCACGGGUGAGUAACACGUAUCCAACCUGCCCUUUACUCGGGGAUAGCCUUUCGAAAGAAAGAUUAAUACCCGAUAUAAAGGAUGGGGAUGCGUUCCAUUAGGUUGUUGGUGAGGUAACGGCACACAAAGCAUUCGAUGGAUAGGGGUUCUGAGAGGAAGGUCCCCCAGAUUGGAACUUAGACCCGGUCCAAACUCGUACGGGAGGCAGGAGUGAGGAAGAUUGGGCAAUGGGCGGUAGCCUCACCCUGCCAAGUAGCUUGAAGGAUGAAGGCUUAUGGGUCGUAAACUUCUUUUAUAGAAGAAGAGGUAUUAUAUGAAUAAGGAUCGGCUAACUCCGUGCCAGCAGCCGCGGUAAUAC
rnacentral:rRNA from 1 species